UACAGAGGGUGCGAGCGUUAAUCGGAAUGACUGGGCGUAAAGGGUGCGUAGGUGGUUUGUUAAGUGUGUUGUGAAAUCCCUGGGCUUAACCUGGGAAUGGCAACGCAUACUGACGAGCUAGAGUAGGUGAGAGGCGUGUGGAAUUUCCGGUGUAGCGGUGAAAUGCGUAGAGAUAGGAAAGAACACCAGUGGCGAAGGCGGCUCACUGGCCCGAUACUGACGCUGAGGCACGAAAGCGUGGGGAGCAAACAGG
rnacentral:rRNA from 1 species